GAUGAACGCUGGCGGCGUGCCUAACACAUGCAAGUCGAGCGAUUCUCUUCGGAGAAGAGCGGCGGACGGGUGAGUAACGCGUGGGCAACCUGCCCUGUACACACGGAUAACAUACCGAAAGGUAUGCUAAUACGAGAUAAUAUGCUUUUAUCGCAUGGUAGAAGUAUCAAAGCUUUUGCGGUACAGGAUGGACCCGCGUCUGAUUAGCUAGUUGGUAAGGUAACGGCUUACCAAGGCGACGAUCAGUAGCCGACCUGAGAGGGUGAUCGGCCACAUUGGAACUGAGACACGGUCCAAACUCCUACGGGAGGCAGCAGUGGGGAAUAUUGCACAAUGGGCGAAAGCCUGAUGCAGCAACGCCGCGUGAGCGAUGAAGGCCUUCGGGUCGUAAAGCUCUGUCCUCAAGGAAGAUAAUGACGGUACUUGAGGAGGAAGCCCCGGCUAACUACGUGCCAGCCGCCGCAGUAAGAC
rnacentral:rRNA from 1 species